rnacentral:rRNA from 1 species
CCCUUAGAUGUUCUGGGCCGCACGCGCGCUACACUGACGAAUGCAACGAGCUUAUAACCUUGGCCGAAAGGUCUGGGUAAUCUCCAAAUUUCGUCGUGAUGGGGAUAGAUUAUUGCAAUUAUUAAUCUUCAACGAGGAAUGCCUAGUAAGCACAAGUCAUCAGCUUGCGUUGAUUACGUCCCUGCCCUUUGUACACACCGCCCGUCGCUCCUACCGAUUGAAUGGUCCGGUGAAGCGUUCGGACCGUGGCCUUUGGACGGUUCGCCGUCUGUUGGCUGCGGGAAGUUCGUUAAACCUUAUCAUUUAGAGGAAGGAGAAGUCGUANCA